rnacentral:lncRNA from 1 species
AUGCUCUUGUUUGAACAACUUCGACAAGUCAAUGAUGGACCAUUCAACAUUUUUUUUGAACAGCAAAUUAUUUCCCCCUAAUAAUACACCUAACCAGGUUUAAACCUGAGUUUCACCAAACUAGUCUUUAACUACUUACUACUGGGCCACAGCCCAAGUAUGGACCAUUCAACAUUACCAAUAAAGAUUCUUCUUGUGAUUAAUAUUGUAACUUUGUUUAUCCGCUUUUUUUCAUUAAAUACCAAUUUUCAUAUAUUUAUUUGCAAGAGAUAGUGACAGGAGGCAAAGCAUGUUGGGAGUAGACCCAUGUUUAAAUCUGGACAAAAGGUAAUUUAGAAACAGUGUAACCGAGGGUGUAUAAGUAUUCGCCAUUAAGAAAAUUAAAAGCAAGAAGAUAGUGUGAAAAAAAUGUGACUUUUACAUAACUAACAGAAUACACAUUUCUAUAUAUCGUUGAAAACAAUACCGAUGUACAUUAUGUUUGGAUUAUUACCGAUGUAUAUUAUGUUUGGAUUAAUUUCACCAAUAAAAAAUAGUUACUAAAGCAUCAAUCUAUUAUAAAACAUAGCUAUUCUUGAGUAAACACAAACCCGUAAGAAGAUUUAGAAAACAAACAUGUUCAUAAUUUAGAACACCCCAUGUAAAAAAAAAAAAACAAACCCGUAAAAAGAUCAAAGUAUUUGAAAGGCACUUAUGGGAGGAGCUCCCUUCACCCCAAUCCAAAAAGAUAACAAGAAUCUUGGCUCUACGUUCAUGCUCACCGAAGGCAUGCACACGCAACCAUUGGUGCACCUACAUGUAUUCAUGAACGAGCAAACGUGAACCAUCAAGUAGUUCUUUCAUGAUUGGGGUGAUGAAGAGCUCCAACCAUAAAUAUUCACCCUAGCACUCAAUUCAUUUGUAGUUUUCUCAGCCUUUUCCAACUCUAAAAUUGGAAAUCUUAG